rnacentral:rRNA from 1 species
AACGAACGCUGGCGGCAUGCUUAACACAUGCAAGUCGAACGCGUGUCUUCGGACACGAGUGGCGCACGGGUGAGUAGCGCGUGGGAACCUGCCCUCUUGUGGGGGAUAACCAAUGGAAACGUUGGCUAAUACCGCAUAAGCCGAGCAAUCGGGAAAGAUUUAUCGCGAGAGGAGGGGCCCGCGUCGGAUUAGCUUGUUGGUGGGGUAGCGGCCUACCAAGGCGAUGAUCCGUAGCUGGUCUGAGAGGAUGAUCAGCCACGCUGGGACUGAGACACGG